CUGAACAGUAAUGAGAGGCUACAUACCUUGUCUCCUAGUGAGCUAGCAGGAGAUUCAGUUUCUCUUUUACAAAAUCACUUUAAUUCUCAACUUCUUUUUCUUUUUGGUUGGGAGCAUGCACAGAAGCUCUCUGCCUGAAGAGAUGAUUUGUUCACCUCUCACUGACAGAGACUUGGAAAACACCCAAGUUUGAUCAUGGCAACAAGGUCAUCUUGCUGCUCUCAGUGUAGAACCGAAGCGGAGACAAAAAGCUUGAUCCGAGCUGCUCCGGAGGUGCUUGGCUGCCCACGUGCCCAGCCUAGAUGACUCGGAGGGAUAUUCCUGAGCAAGAUACAGGGUUUUCUCCAUGGAGCUAAAUAUAACUUUUGAGCAGGGAAUAUGGUGACUCUGCCAGGGGAGGGAUCCCAGGCUGAGCCAGAGGGCCAGGGAUGGGGCAGGCCAGGGAUGGGAGGCUAGGAACGCUUCUCAGUGGACCUGAUACGCAGAUUGAGUUGAGGAGCUGUGGAACCAGCUCUCCAGAAGCGUCUCCAGCACAAACUCAGAAGGAUAGAGAAAGAAAAGAAGGGGACUGGAAUUGAGGAGACAGCAUGCUGACAGAAAGCACAGCUUGACUCAGGGAGGCUGAGAAAGUGGUGAAGGACCAUACCAGAAGAAAGGCUUGUUUGAAACACCCUAUGGCAGAGCCCAAGUGACACUGUUUAAAGCGGCAUGUGGAAUGACGGCCAAGGCCAGUGUUCUCCUGGAAGUUCAAAGUGUGAGAAUGGGAUGGAGCCAGCCAGGAAAACACUCUGCUUCUCAGAGGACUUCAAAGACUGAGAGAAGACACAGAACUGGAGGAAGGUGCAGAGGAGGGAGCCAAGCCCUUGGGACCAGACAGACAGCCAUCUGCCACACAGAGGCCUGCUCAUAUGCCCGGAAAGUCGAGAGCCACACAGGCUGCAUUUCUGCUCCACGGGCCUUGAAGUGGAGAAGACGGCUUGCUGCCAUUUUAUUCGGUCCUGUGGCUCCCGUGAAACUCCAGUCCCCACGCUCCUCACUGGGCCUCUUAAAGGUCCAUCUGUUUCCCCUCUCAACAAACUGACCUGUGUGGGCAAUAAUACCGAAGACCCUCCUCCAAGCUGUGACAGAUCAUUGAAAAUUGCUAGGAAAAGAACUGCAUCAUAACGACCCCAAUACUACGUCAGACCCGGAGAUCCCUAGGCGUGCUUUCUACCCCCAGAGUGUUUUCAGAGCAUGUGUCACUGCUUUGCGGCAGGCUUGUACUGUGAGCAUCCUCAUAACGGACACUUCCUCUGCGGCCCAGUUUACUUUUUUAUACGCUUAGUCAUGCAUACAGAUCCUAGCCGUGGCGACUGACUCAAAAUAACUCAUUUGGGGGCACUACAAAAAGAGUCUUUAUCGGCUGUUUUAAUAACAACACAGCCCACAUUAAACAGCUCAGUUUGGCUGCUUAGAUAUUCCUUCUCAAAUCAUGUCAUAUACAUUUUUGGAAACUACAUUAAAAUACUACGUAUUCUCCCAUCCUCCAACCCUUCAGUCUUUGUUUAUUGCUUUAGUUCAUUCCUGGAUUUUCUCCCUAAGCUGUGGGUAAGGAGUGCCACGGAUAAGUUCAUUUUUUUUGCUUCAAAGUGACAGAAAUGUCUGAUUUCUCUCUGGUUUUGGAAAAACUGAGUAGUCAUAGAAGAUCUAAAGCAGAAAAUCUCAAACCUCUUCAAGGGAGCUGCCUCUUGCUCUCCUUUCCUCUCUCCUUCUCUUUCUUCUUCCUGUCCUUUCCUUCCCUCCCUCCAUGUUUCCUAAAUAUCUGUAAUGUGCCCGCCAUUGUUCUAGAUGAGGAAUCAGACACAAAGGGGAGCAAGUACAGUGUCCCACAGUCUUCUGAAUGUCUUUAAGAAGACAACCUGAGAAAUAGAUAACAUGGCUUUCGUUGGUAUGAAAUCAUCCCAAGAUGUCCCUGCAUGCUUCGGGGGACACCUUCCUGGUUCAUAAUUCCUUUUCCUGCAGACUUCUCUGUUCAGGGCACAGGCCUAGAAAGGCACGAGACCGAGGACUUUAUUACUCACAGCAGCUGACGUGAGACAACAUUUUUUGGUACUGGUCCUGAGCCCCACUUCCACAGGGCAACGUGGAGAGGGACAGAUGACCCGUGUCACACCCACACAUGGCAGCUUGCUUACGAGAGAGGAUUCCUGAUUGCAGAGAACCCAAAUCUUUUUCAAUGCCUACCCUUUUCUUCAAUAGGAGACCUUACUCAACUUCUGAGAGUGCUUGAUAGGCGUGGAGAUUCUCCCCCUGUACGCCUUUCUCUUGCCCUCUGGAAUCCAAAUAAAACUAAAGGAGCUGUCAAGUGUCAGGUGAGACGUAAGUGCCUCCCUCCCCUCCACUGCCCCCCUCCGGUUAAAGCCCCAGCUAUUGUCCCUGCCCUGUUGGCUCUCUUUUCCUACUCUGCCUUCUCCUUCUUACCCUUGUCCGUAUUCUGCUCAGCUGGGAGCACAGGCCUGAGCGCUGAUGGCGUAGGAGCUCCAAUUUGAGAUCCAUUUAUCAAGAGCUGGAAUUGGCAAACCAUGGGCCCAGCCAAAUAGAUUGCAGUCUGUUUUUGUGCAUCUCUGGAGCUAGGGGUGAUACUUAGAUUUUUAAAAGGGUGUGUGUGUGUGUGUGUGUGUGUGUGUGUAUAAAACAAUAUGAGACAGAGCCCGCAAACCUGAAAUAUUUACUAUCUCAAACUUUAUAGGAAAAGUUUGCCAACUCCUAUUGUAGGAGAAAUUGUCAUGUUAUAGGGGAAAGGGGACCAUACAGAAAACAGCAGCAUGGAUGGACGUGCUGGGGGACCGGGCUAGCAUGCUAUCUCUUCAUUCUUCGAGGCAUCCUGCGUACCUCCUUGGUAGAGAGCAGACUGUAUGAUCUUCUUCAUGCCUUAGAAAGUGCAAAUUUCUCAGGCUCUAAAAUCGUACUCUCCGUCUCUGUCUCUCUCCGUUGCUCUCUCUUACUGUUGUGAAUUAAGUCAGGAAAAGUGAAGAGAAGCAUGUGAAUUAUUGUUCCAAUUAUGAUAUGUGAUUCAAACACGUGAGGGACCUUGGCUCAUCUUCCUCUCCGGGUUAAGUGCAGUUACAGCAUCAAUUAGGAUUUAGAUGAUGUUCUCAGAUCUGGGGAAUGGAUUGCUGGGUGCCAGGAAAAUAAUACUACAGUGUCUGUGCAUGCACGGAGCUAGCUGGACAGCUGCUCAAACGGAUUUCCUUUGUGCCGUCCACCAUCUGAGCUCUGUAGAAAUUCUCUCCUUUCAAAGUCAUCUUGGAGUCCCUGAGUCCUCAGAGCCCCGCAUUAUCUUAAUUUUUUUAACCUCUCUGUCACAUAAAGAUUUCAUAUUUUUGCUUAUACUUCAUAUACAUUGAAACAUGCUCAUGCUUGAGAAUAUUGAUGCUUCCUCUAAAAUGACUGUGGAUACUUUCUCCUUCCAGACUCUUUAUGGAGUUGACUCCAGCCUCUAAUCUUGGCCUUGAAAGGUGGCAAGCGGUUCAGUAACGUAGAAUACAGGACACUGACUUAGCUAAGUCUGAUUUUGACUCAAUCAAGAGUGCUAUUAAAAAAAGUGGACAUUUGAAUGGGGGUGGCUUGUCACCUUGAAGAGAGUAGCGGUUUUAAAUCAAUACACUCCAACAUCUUAGAAACAGAUGUUAAUAAGAUGCGGUAUUUGAAGGACAUUUCAGAAGAAUAGGAUUAUACUGAGUACUUUUCUAGUGUUUAUCAAAUUCUUCCCAAGUGACCAUGGAGUACAGAAAGGCAAGUGCCACCGUUCUCGGGGCUGUGAGUAUAUUCGCUUGUUUGAUCACCACAUUCCAAGAGCAGAUGUGAUUGUGCUCCUCAAUGGACAGGGGAGGAAACUGAGGCACAGGGAGGUAAAUGGAGUAGCUCAGAUACAGAACCUGAUGAUUUAGUUCCAGAGCUUUCAGCCUUUUCUGACUGACACCUCAUGCUCUCAGCAUGCCUAGUCACGUGCUGGAAGGGGGAUUCUCGACACUGGUCAUGAAUUACAGUCACCUGGG
ensembl:lncRNA